rnacentral:rRNA from 1 species
GAUGAACGCUGGCGGCGUGCCUAAUACAUGCAAGUCGAGCGGACCAAAGAGAGCUUGCUCUCUGAGGUUAGCGGCGGACGGGUGAGUAACACGUGGGUAACCUGCCUGUAAGACGGGGAUAACUUCGGGAAACCGAAGCUAAUACCGGAUGAUAAAGAGAAACGCCUGUUUCUUUUUUGAAAGUCGGCCUUGUGCUGACUCUUACAGAUGGGCCCGCGGCGCAUUAGCUAGUUGGUGAGGUAACGGCUCACAAAGGCGACGAUGCGUAGCCGACCUGAGAGGGUGAUCGGCCACACUGGGACUGAGACACGGCCCAGACUCCUACGGGAGGCAGCAGUAGGGAAUCUUCGGCAAUGGACGAAAGUCUGACCGAGCAACGCCGCGUGAGCGAUGAAGGCCUUCGGGUCGUAAAGCUCUGUUGUCAGAGAAGAACAAGUACCGGAGUAACUGCCGGUACCUUGACGGUACCUGACCAGAAAGCCACGGCUAACUACGUGCCAGCCGCCGCAGUAA